UGUGGUAUAGUAUAAUGGCAGUACAGGAGAUUUUGGUUCUCUUAGAGAGGGUUCGAAUCCUUCUACCACAA
rnacentral:tRNA from 1 species